CCCUUAGAUGUUCUGGGCCGCACGCGCGCUACACUGACGACGUCACCGAGUUGUCCUGCGUCGGAAGGCGUGGGUAAUCUUUUGAACCGUCGUCGUGCUUGGGAUAGAUCUUUGCAAUUUUCGAUCUUCAACGAGGAAUUCCUAGUAUGCGUGAUUCAUCAGAUCGCGUAGAUUACGUCCCUGCCCUUUGUACACACCGCCCGUCGCUACUACCGAUUGAAUGGUUUAGUGAGGCCUCGGGACUUGCGCAUGCGAGCUGGCAACGGCGUGCGUGCGCGGGGAACCUGGUCAAACUUGAUCAUUUAGAGGAAGUAAAAGUCGUAACA
rnacentral:rRNA from 1 species